rnacentral:lncRNA from 1 species
AAAGGAAACAAAUAACAAAGACAAAGCCCAGCCCAAAGAAAGCGCACGUUAUGCCUGUGACGGGCGUCACAAAGGUUGUGACGAGCGUCACACUAAGCACACUCUUGUGACGAGCGUCACACAUGGUGUGACGGACGUCACACCAUUCCCCUAUAUUUUUGGCACUAGGAACUCAACUGACCACGUUGAAAGCUAUUUCCAC